UUUGGCUCGUUUAAUUUUCAUAAAAUUUUGUCAAAGUAUUUACUUUAACCCUUUAACAAAAAUAUAAAAAUUUCAAAAAUUUUUAACCAACCAUUUGUCAGAAAAAUUACACUGGUUAUAUAGCAGUUUGACAAACACUUAUUUUGAUCAUUGAGAAGCUUAUAUUCCCUUUACAACACAACGUAAUUAAAACGUUUAGCUGAUUUUACAGAGUUAUCUCC
rnacentral:lncRNA from 1 species